rnacentral:rRNA from 1 species
CCUACGGAUGGCAGCAGUGGGGGAUAUUGCACAAUGGGGGAAACCCUGAUGCAGCGACGCCGCGUGUGGGAAGACGGUCCUCUGGAUUGUAAACCACUGUCCCCAGGGACGAAGAUGACGGUACCUGGGGAGGAAGCUCCGGCUAACUACGUGCCAGCAGCCGCGGUAAUACGUAGGGAGCGAGCGUUGUCCGGAAUUACUGGGUGUAAAGGGAGCGUAGGCGGGACUGCAAGUUGGGUGUCAAAACUACCGGCCCAACCGGUAGCCGCCCUUAAAACUGCAGUUCUUGAGUGAAGGAGAGGGCGGGGGAAUUCCUAGGGUAGCGGUGAAAUGCGGAGAUAUUAGGAGGAACACCAGUGGCGAAGGCGGCCUGCUGGGCUUUUACUGACGCUGAGGCUCGAAAGUGUGGGGAGCAAACAGGAUUAGAUACCCGUGUAGUC